GCCUGGGUGGCUAAGUUGGUUAAGCGUCUGACUUCGACUCAGGUCAUGAUCUCACAGUCCAUGAGUUCGAGCCCCACGCCAGGUU
rnacentral:tRNA from 1 species